UCCAGGAACCAAGAGGAAGUUUCUCAAAACUAGAAGGGAAAGGAAUUUUCCCCCAUGUCAGUCCAGCUUUGGAGACAUUCUAGUAGUACUAUAUGUCCUUCCCGCAAAAUAACAAUGAAGUGUUCUGUGUGCUAACAACAUAGCUUAAAAAAAAAAAAAAGUUAAACAAAAUUCUGCAUUUUUAUAAAACCUGAUCAAAAA